rnacentral:rRNA from 1 species
UACAGAGGGUGCAAGCGUUGUUCGGAAUCAUUGGGCGUAAAGCGCGUGUAGGCGGCCAUGCAAGUCGGAUGUGAAAGCCCUCGGCUCAACCGGGGAAGUGCACUCGAAACUGCAAGGCUAGAGUCUCGGAGAGGAUCGUGGAAUUCUCGGUGUAGAGGUGAAAUUCGUAGAUAUCGAGAGGAACACCGGUGGCGAAGGCGGCGAUCUGGACGAUGACUGACGCUGAGACGCGAAAGCGUGGGGAGCAAACAGG